rnacentral:rRNA from 1 species
GACGAACGCUGGCGGCGUGCCUAAUACAUGCAAGUCGAACGCUUCUUUCCUCCCGAGUGCUUGCACUCAAUUGGAAAGAGGAGUGGCGGACGGGUGAGUAACACGUGGGUAACCUACCCAUCAGAGGGGGAUAACACUUGGAAACAGGUGCUAAUACCGCAUAACAGUUUAUGCCGCAUGGCAUAAGAGUGAAAGGCGCUUUCGGGUGUCGUUGAUGGAUGGACCCGCGGUGCAUUAGCUAGUUGGUGAGGUAACGGCUCACCAAGGCCACGAUGCAUAGCCGACCUGAGAGGGUGAUCGGCCACACUGGGACUGAGACACGGCCCAGACUCCUACGGGAGGUAGCAGUAGGGAAUCUUCGGCAAUGGACGAAAGUCUGACCGAGCAACGCCGCGUGAGUGAAGAAGGUUUUCGGAUCGUAAAACUCUGUUGUUAGAGAAGAACAAGGACGUUAGUAACUGAACGUCCCCUGACGGUAUCUAACCAGAAAGCCACGGCUAACUACGUG